GCGGCUCCGCUGGCGAAGGGGAAGCGCCGGGCCAAAACGUCGAGUCGGCGUGGUACCUCUCAGAUGGCACCGCCGUCGACGAGGCAGGUGGGCGGAUGGAUGCCGCCGCUGUUAACCGGAUGAAGCGGACGUUCCGGUUGCCGGGCUCGGUGAAGCUGCGCCCCCCGACAGCGGAUGAGAAGGCCUCGAUGCUCCCAGCGGGAUGUGCUGCCGUGCACGAGGCCAUAUUCCGCCAAGGAGUGACAUUCCCGCUAGUGCCCAAUCUCCAAAUUCUUGUGUGCGAGUUUGGCCUUGCCUUUGGGCAGAUCUGUCCCAACAUGUGGCGGUUGAUGUUGGCGAUGAACUCCUUGUGGCGCUUGUCGGGGUGCGAGGGGCCUACCGUGGCGGAAGUGCUUCACUUCUACGAGCUAGUGUAUGUGAAGCGCCGAGGUUGCAGAGGGUGCGUGAACCUGAGCCGCCGCCAGGGAGCGC
rnacentral:lncRNA from 1 species